GGGGCACUAGCUCCUAAUUGGCAGAGCGGCGGUCUCCAAAACCGCAGGUUCCAGGUUCGAGCCCUGGGUGCCCCG
rnacentral:tRNA from 1 species